UGCGUAGGUAGGACUGGAUUGAGUGCGAUCAGGAUCACCGCCCGCCAUGACCUCGCUAGCGCUAUUACAGCGGGUGUCGCAGGUUCGAAUCCUGCCGGGGCAC
rnacentral:tRNA from 1 species